rnacentral:lncRNA from 1 species
AUGGAAGAACCAGCGCCAAACGCCGCUAACUGAACCAGACGUCUGAGAUGACGGCGGCGAGUUCUAGAGUCCUGAUCUGUCAAUUGGUCGCCGGUUGUAGCUUCUCCAUGGAAUUUGGCUGGUUAACGGGGAUAAUCCGGUGGAUCUGGCGACUGAGUUGGGUUCUGGUGUUUUUCAGUGCUCAAGGUUGUUAGAUCGGGUCAUCAGACUACAUGAUAGGGAAAUCUUCCGGCAGUGAACACAUGCUAUUUGAAAUGCAAGUCAAUGAUGGGUGCGACUAAAUCAAAGGUACCUUGGUGCAAGAGAGUAACAAAGCAUGUGAUUUACGAACCGCUUGCUGAAGGUCAAAUGGGAUGGGUUACAAUGUAAAAUUGACUCAAUAAAAAAAACAAGCAAAUGAGAAUCCCUUUUGGGAAUCCAGCACUUUUGACACCAUAUCGAAGGUUUUGUACAUUCUUUUUGGGAUAGAGUGUCUUCUUACUGCAUUUAAUUUAGGCAUUUAAUUUUGUUAUAGUGGAAUAUACAUACAACUUAAUUGAAUUGAUUUCUUUCGAACAAUUGUUUUCGAUCGAUAUAAAUAUCAUGUGUUGAUAUCGAGUGGUUGUACGAUAACCAACUAAACGAACGGAUGCUGACCAAAUUUCUGUCGCGUAGCACUGGGAAUCCACAGGUGCAACGCGCCGGGGUUGAGCGCACUAGU